GUAAAUAAUCAAGGGCGUACGGUGGAUGCCUAGGCUCUCAGAGGCGAAGAAGGACGUGAUAAGCUGCGAAAAGCUGCGGGUAGGUGCAAAUAACCUGUGAUCCGCAGAUAUCCGAAUGGGUCAACCCGUUAUGUUGAAGACAUAACAUUCCGCAAGGAAGGCAAACGCAGGGAACUGAAACAUCUAAGUACCUGCAGGAGAAGAAAACAAUAGUGAUACCCCCAGUAGCGGCGAGCGACCGGGGCAUAGCCCAAACCGUAAUUGUUUCGGCAUUUACGGGGUAGUAGGACUGCAAGACUGAAUGAUGCAAUGAAAUGGAACACAUUGGAAAAUGUGAUCGUAGAGGGUGAAAAUCCCGUACAUGUAAGUAAGUCAUUCAUAGCAUACUCCUGAGUAAGUCGGGACACGUGAAAUCCUGACCGAAUCGACCGGGACCAUCCGGUAAGGCUAAAUACUCCUGAGAGACCGAUAGUGAACCAGUACUGUGAAGGAAAGGUGAAAAGCACUUCGAACAGAAGAGUGAAAUAGUCCCUGAACCCGUACGCCUACAAGCAGUCGGAGCCCUUAUUGGGGUGACGGCGUGCCUUUUGCAUAAUGAGCCUACGAGUUACUCAUCACUGGCGAGGUUAAGCACUUCAGGUGCGUAAGCCGAAGCGAAAGCGAGUCUGAACAGGGCGUGAAGUCAGUGGUGGUAGACGCGAAACCUUAGUGAUCUACCCAUGGGCAGGGUGAAGGUUUGGUAACACAAACUGGAGGCCCGCACCGGUAAACGUUGAAAAGUUUUCGGAUGACCUGUGGGUAGGGGUGAAAGGCCAAUCAAACUGGGAAAUAGCUCGUACUCUCCGAAAUGCAUUUAGGUGCAGCCUCUGUUGUUUUGUCUUAGAGGUAGAGCUACUGAUUGGAUGCGAGGGCUUCACCGCCUAUCAAAUCCGGCCAAACUCCGAAUGCUAAGACAUAAAGACAGGGAGUGAGCCAGCGGGUGCUAAGGUCCGUUGACGAAAGAGGGAGAACUCAGCCCAUCAGCUAAGGUCCCCAAUUGUAUGCUAAGUUGGAAUGAAAACGCAGUGGGACAGCUUAGACAGCUAGGAUGUUGGCUUGGAAGCAGCCAUUCAUUUAAAGAGUGCGUAACAGCUCACUAGUCGAGCGGUCCUGCAUGGAUAAUACGCGGGCAUAAGCAUACAACCGAAGCUAUGGAAUGUAUGAAAAUACAUUGGUAGGAGAGCAUUCCAUUAAGCGUCGAAGCGAUACUGUGAGGUAUCGUGGAGCGAAUGGAAAAGCAAAUGUAGGCAUAAGUAACGAUAAUGCGGGUGAGAACCCCGCACGCCGAAAGAUCAAGGAUUCCCCGGCAAUGUCAAUCAUCCGGGGGUAAGUCGGCCCCUAAGGUCCAGCCGAGCGGCGACGCCGAUGGGAAACAGGUUAAUAUUCCUGUACUGAUCACAACUGCGAUGCAGCGACGCAGCGAUGACACUGCUGCCACCUGACGGAAUAGGUGGUUGAAGCCCGUACCCAAUGAUUCCGGUAGUAAAGUACGCCGGGAGAGGUGAAAGGUGAAAGUACCGCAAGGCUCCGGCCGCGCGGAUAAUGCAGGUAAUUUAACUGCCAAGAAAACCUGCUAAGCUUCAGGUUCUGAUCAACCGUACUGUAAACGGACACACGUGAUCGGGUAGAAAAUACUAAGGCGCUCGAGAGAUUCAUGGUUAAGGAACUAGGCAAAAUGGUCCUGUAACUUCGGGAAAAAGGACGCUCACAUUGAUGUGAGCCGCAGAAAAUCGGCCCAGGCGACUGUUUACCAAAAACACAUGGCUAUGCAAAAUCGUAAGAUGACGUAUAUGGCCUGACACCUGCCCGGUGCCGGAAGGUUAAGAGGAGAGCUCAGACGUAUAGUCGAAGGUUUGAAUUGAAGCCCCGGUAAACGGCGGCCGUAACUAUAACGGUCCUAAGGUAGCGAAAUUCCUUGUCGGGUAAGUUCCGACCUGCACGAAUGGUGUAACGAUCUGGGUACUGUCUCAACCAUGAGCUCGGUGAAAUUGUAGUUCCGGUGAAGAUGCCGGAUACCCGCAACGGGACGGAAAGACCCCGUGAACCUUUACUGCAGCUUUGCAUUGAAAUUGGGUAACCGAUGUGUAGGAUAGGUCGGAGGCACCGAAGUAGCAUCGUCAGGUGUUAUGGAGCCGUCGUUGAAAUACGACCCUUCUGUUAUCUGAGUUCUAAUCCCGUUAGGGAGACAUUGCAUGGUGGGUAGUUUGACUGGGGUGGUCGCCUCCAAAAGUGUAACGGAGGCUUCUCAAGGUACCCUCAGGACGUUUGGUAAUCGUCUGCAGAGUGCAAUGGCAUAAGGGUGCUUGACUGUGAGACUCACAAGUCGAUCAGGUUGGAAACAAGAGCAUAGUGAUCCGGUGGUUCCGCAUGGAAGGGCCAUCGCUCAAAGGAUAAAAGGUACUCCGGGGAUAACAGGCUGAUCGCUCCCAAGAGCUCAAAUCGACGGAGCGGUUUGGCACCUCGAUGUCGGCUCGUCACAUCCUGGGGCUGGAGAAGGUCCCAAGGGUUCGGCUGUUCGCCGAUUAAAGUGGCACGCGAGCUGGGUUCAGAACGUCGUGAGACAGUUCGGUCCCUAUCUGUUGUGGGCGCAGGAUAUUUGCGAAGCUCUGACUCUAGUACGAGAGGACCGGGUUGGACAUACCUCUGGUGAAUCAGUUGUGUCGCCAGAUGCACUGCUGAGUAGCUAUGUAUGGAUUGGAUAAGCGCUGAAAGCAUCUAAGCGCGAAGCCAGCUUCAAGAUGAGAUAUCCUUUCAGGGUCGUUCGAGAUGAGAACGUGGAUAGGUUGCAGGUGUACAGUCGGUGACGGCAUAGCCGAGCAAUACUAAUAACCCGAAAGUUUACUUGUU
rnacentral:rRNA from 1 species